rnacentral:rRNA from 1 species
ACUCUAAGCGGUGGAUCACUCGGCUCAUGGGUCGAUGAAGAACGCAGCAAACUGUGCGUCAUCGUGUGAACUGCAGGACACAUGAACAUCGACAUUUUGAACGCAUAUCGCAGUCCAUGCUGUUAUGUACUUUAAUUAAUUUUAUAGUGCUGCUUGGACUACAUAUGGUUGAGGGUUGUAAGACUAUGCUAAUUAAGUUGCUUAUAAAUUUUUAUAAGCAUAUGGUAUAUUAUUGGAUAAAUAUAAUAAUUUUUAUUCAUAAUAUUAAAAAAUAAAUGAAAAACAUUAUCUCACAUUUGAAUGUGAAAAACGAAGAGAAAUAUUUUCUUUUUCAAUCAAAUAAUACUGAGAAAUGUCUAGCAUAAAAAAUUGAAAUAUUUUUCAUCUAGAAUUGUCUCUUAUUAAUGAUUCGGAAAUAGAAAAAUCUUGGUUAUGUUAUUAUUCUUCGUUGGUUCGUUAAAAAUGGAUAAAUAAAAACUUUGCAUACAAGAAUUAAUAAAAAUGUUAUAACGAAUUUAAUUAAAUGUUUUAUCAUUAUAUAUAAAGAAUUUAUGGCAAGAUAAAGUUAUAUACAACCUCAACUCAUAUGGGACUACCCCCUGAAUUUAAGCAUAUUAAUUAGGGGAGGAAAAGAAACUAACAAGGAUUUUCUUAGUAGCGGCGAGCGAAAAGAAAACAGUUCAGCACUAAGUCACUUUGUCUAUAUGGCAAAUGUGAGAUGCAGUGUAUGGAGCGUCAAUAUUCUAGUAUGAGAAAUUAACGAUUUAAGUCCUUCUUAAAUGAGGCCAUUUACCCAUAGAGGGUGCCAGGCCCGUAUAACGUUAAUGAUUACUAGAUGAUGUUUCCAAAGAGUCGUGUUGCUUGAUAGUGCAGCACUAAGUGGGUGGUAAACUCCAUCUAAAACUAAAUAUAACAUGAGACCGAUAGUAAACAAGUACCGUGAGGGAAAGUUGAAAAGAACUCUGAAUAGAGAGUUAAACAGUACGUGAAACUGCUUAGAGGUUAAGCCCGAUGAACCUGAAUAUCCGUUAUGGAAAAUUCAUCAUUAAAAUUGUAAUAUUUAAAUAAUAUUAUGAGAAUAGUGUGCAUUUUUUCCAUAUAAGGACAUUGUAAUCUAUUAGCAUAUACCAAAUUUAUCAUAAAAUAUAACUUAUAGUUUAUUCCAAUUAAAUUGCUUGCAUUUUAACACAGAAUAAAUGUUAUUAAUUUGAUAAAGUGCUGAUAGAUUUAUAUGAUUACAGUGCGUUAAUUUUUCGGAAUUAUAUAAUGGCAUAAUUAUCAUUGAUUUUUGUGUUUAUUAUAUGCACUUGUAUGAUUAACAAUGCGAAAGAUUCAGGAUACCUUCGGGACCCGUCUUGAAACACGGACCAAGGAGUCUAACAUAUGUGCAAGUUAUUGGGAUAUAAACCUAAUAGCGUAAUUAACUUGACUAAUAAUGGGAUUAGUUUUUUAGCUAUUUAUAGCUAAUUAACACAAUCCCGGGGCGUUCUAUAUAGUUAUGUAUAAUGUAUAUUUAUAUUAUUUAUGCCUCUAACUGGAACGUACCUUGAGCAUAUAUGCUGUGACCCGAAAGAUGGUGAACUAUACUUGAUCAGGUUGAAGUCAGGGGAAACCCUGAUGGAAGACCGAAACAGUUCUGACGUGCAAAUCGAUUGUCAGAAUUGAGUAUAGGGGCGAAAGACCAAUCGAACCAUCUAGUAGCUGGUUCCUUCCGAAGUUUCCCUCAGGAUAGCUGGUGCAUUUUAAUAUUAUAUAAAAUAAUCUUAUCUGGUAAAGCGAAUGAUUAGAGGCCUUAGGGUCGAAACGAUCUUAACCUAUUCUCAAACUUUAAAUGGGUAAGAACCUUAACUUUCUUGAUAUGAAGUUCAAGGUUAUGAUAUAAUGUGCCCAGUGGGCCACUUUUGGUAAGCAGAACUGGCGCUGUGGGAUGAACCAAACGUAAUGUUACGGUGCCCAAAUUAACAACUCAUGCAGAUACCAUGAAAGGCGUUGGUUGCUUAAAACAGCAGGACGGUGAUCAUGGAAGUCGAAAUCCGCUAAGGAGUGUGUAACAACUCACCUGCCGAAGCAACUAGCCCUUAAAAUGGAUGGCGCUUAAGUUGUAUACCUAUACAUUACCGCUAAAGUAGAUGAUUUAUAUUACUUGUGAUAUAAAUUUUGAAACUUUAGUGAGUAGGAAGGUACAAUGGUAUGCGUAGAAGUGUUUGGCGUAAGCCUGCAUGGAGCUGCCAUUGGUACAGAUCUUGGUGGUAGUAGCAAAUAAUCGAAUGAGACCUUGGAGGACUGAAGUGGAGAAGGGUUUCGUGUGAACAGUGGUUGAUCACGAGUUAGUCGGUCCUAAGUUCAAGGCGAAAGCCGAAAAUUUUCAAGUUUUUUUUUUUUUAUUUUACUUUGCUUUUAUUUAUUGAAUCUUCUUGUAUAAGAACUAACAAUAAGUUUAAAAAUCUUAACUAUAACAAGUAUUUUUUGAACAGUUGUAUUAUUUUUCCAACUGUUCUAUGUUUAAACGGCCCUAAUAAUUUAUUCGCUGGGUUGGUAGGUCCUUUCGCCGGAGACGGGAACGGCUGCUGAGCUGGAUUAGACCUCGCGCUAGGUGGUUGGGGUGCGUGUGAAGCUUGCUAUGGUAUUUUUCCUUAAGUUCCGUGAUUGCGUUGGUAACUGAUGGGAUAUUUAAGUCUCUUUGGAUGUUUUCACUCCGAACGUACCACGGUGCCCCAGUGAUGGUUCUCAGAAUCUUUGAUUGUGCUCGCUGAAUGAUGUCAAUAUUGCUGUUGCUGGCAUUGCCCCAUAACUGUGAGCC